UCUUAGGAAUGGACUUGCAUGUAUUUGCAAAUACUAUUUACUUACUGUUCUGCAAUGAGGACACUUGUCUCUUAACUAAUUUCACUCAAGUUUCAGCUUUCCUGUGACUUCUUACAUUUCCCAGGUGCUGGAGAAGUGAUUCCCCUGCAGCCCAUUGUGAAGACCAUGGUGGGGCAGGCUGUCCCCCUGCAGCCCACAGAGGUCCACAGUGGAGCAAAUACCCACCAUGGAGCAGAUAUCCCAUAGAGGAACUCACAACAGAGCAGGGGAAUGCCUGAAGGAGGCUGUGACCCCUUGGGAAGCCCAUGCUGGAACAUGCUCCUAGCAGGACCUGUGGCCUCAUGGAGAGAGGAACCCAUGCUGGAGCAGGUGAGGAGGGGAGUGAUAGAAAGACUUUUGUGGGCAUCUGGUGUCCAGCCAGAUUCAACCCACCUCAGUCAGUAAGAAGACAUUUGGAAAGACCUGAAUCAGUGGAACUGAAUGCAGUGUUUCCAAUUCUUCCUGGCAAGUGAAGGAAUAAAGAAGUAAAGAAUGAAGUCAGGAUCACACUAUGGGAAUACCAUCGUAUUUUUCUAAUUAAUUCCAUUUAAGAAAAUAUUAAUUGAAUAUUUUAGAGUUAAGAUAUCAAUGCUGUUAAACAGCAACACAAUAUGAUGAAGUCAACAAAGCAUGACUGAUAAUGUAAAGAAAAAUUCAAAUACAUUAAUUUGCCCAUUAGCCUUAUCCUAUUCCCUUUGGAUUUUAUUUUCUGUGCUUUAUUUUUUAACCUCAGAGCUGCAUUCAUGUAUUAUUAAAUCACUAACAACUGUUAUUUAAAAAUCUUGGCUUUCUGAGCCCAGUAAGUAAUCUGGAUGAGCAAUCUACCUCCCUAGGGGAAUUUUCCUAUGCAGAAGCUGGUAUGACCUCCACUCAAACAGUUUGCAUGCAUAAUUAUAUUUCUGAUGGGCUCUAAUUGUAUACAUAAGAUGAAAAUAAUUUGUAGUGAAUUUUGUCUGGAAAUUUGACCCUUUACAUUUUUUUUCUUUAAUUUUACCUUACCCAUGUUUGUAAGCAAAUAAUGCAUUUUUGUGCCAUGGAUAUUCAAAUUAAUCAAAUAACUAU